rnacentral:rRNA from 1 species
UACGGAGGAUGCGAGCGUUAUCCGGAUUUAUUGGGUUUAAAGGGUGCGUAGGCGGAAUAUCAAGUCAGCGGUAAAAAUUCGGGGCUCAACCCCGUCGUGCCGUUGAAACUGAUGUUCUUGAGUGGGCGAGAAGUAUGCGGAAUGCGUGGUGUAGCGGUGAAAUGCAUAGAUAUCACGCAGAACCCCGAUUGCGAAGGCAGCAUACCGGUGCACAACUGACGCUGAGGCACGAAGGCCAGGGGAGCGAAAGGG